UUGAAGUGUUCAUGAAAGCUUUGGUAUUCUCCCUGCAAUUUAAGGCCAGUGUUUAUCUUAAAUUUUGGAUUAAUUCUCUUUUAAUUCUCUUCAAAUUGCCCAGUUUCAUUGGCUAAUUUCAUUGUUGUUGUCGUUAUUAUCCAUCUUGAUUUCGUCAUAUCUUUUAUAUUUUAUUCUAUAACAGAAGAUACAAAAAAGAUUCAUCAAUACUUAUACUUCUCUUAUGCUACUCUAAAACCAUCUAAUUCAGCAAGACCAGUUACUUUGAUUACGCUACACUUUCUUCUUCAAAUUUUGUCCCAGAUACAAGGGUUGAGCUAGAAGGGAGUGAAGGAACGACAAGGGCAAAACAGUUAAUUCACACUAAUAAGAAUCCUCUGUUUCCACGGAUCAAGAACAAUCCACUUCUUUGAAUAAUCCGUCAAACAGAAAAAAAGCUCAAGUUUAGGUAUUUCUCUUAUUCUCUCUGUAUAGAUAAAGCCGGAGAUCAAUUGCCGUAACGCCGCCUACAUUGAAUCGACAUGGGAAGAAAUUUGAGAAUGAGCUUGUUGUUGCUGUUACAAAAGGAGAACCUGCUGAGGUGUUGUCUGGAUAUGGUUCUAAGCAAGGUCAAAUACACGUCUGUGAAGAUGCAGACUACUUGCACUUGAACAGAAAGACACUAUGAAGCUCUUCAGGAAAGGAUGGUAGUUGCAGAUGCUGAAUUUGUAGUUGGAUCACAGUUGCUAGCUUACUUGUAAAUUGUAACUAGAUUCAUGAACAUACUGCUUGUUUCUAAUGCAAAACCAAAGAAUUCAUCACCUUUUAACCAACAUAGAAAAUAACCUGAACCGGCCCGUGAAAUUUAGCUGGGUUGUGGGCUGGUCUGGGCCGAGUUGUGGUUAGGUGGGCCGGGUCUGGGUUCAACAGUAAAUUUUUUAAAAACAACCCUGAACCGGUCCACUUAGCCCAACCCGGCCUAACCCACCUAAAUCCGGUUAAAAUUCCGGCCAAAACCGGUAAAAAAUAAAAAAAAAUGUUUUUUUCAAUAUACGCUAUAUA